CUGGAAAGUACUGAUCGAUGCGCAGAGGCUUGACGACAACGCGCACUGAGCCACUGAAUAGCGGAUUUUUGCGCCUGAUAUGGUAAGAAAUUGGAUUGUAAUAUGUAUUACUAAAAUCAAGACUAUAAACAUAGGAAUGUGUAACAGGAUUCUUUUGCACUACCGUCUAUCAACAUGCUUUACAAUAAUGUUAUAUGGUUCUUGUCUAUAUUUAUCUAGAAACUCGCAAUUGCAGCCACUCAUAACAUCUUCGAACAACUUUUGAUAAAAAC